rnacentral:rRNA from 1 species
GACGAACGCUGACGGCGUGCUUAACACAUGCAAGUCGAAGGGAGUGGCUAACGGGUGAGCAACACGUUAGUAACCUGCCCUUUUCCCUGGGAUAAGCCUGGGAAACUGGGUCUAAUACUGGAUGGAUUCGGGUGGGCUCGAGGAUUAUCAGCUUGCUUGUGGGGUGAUGGCUUACAACGGCUUUGACGGGGAGCCGGCCUGGGAGGGUGGUCGGUCAGACAGGGACAGAGAUACGGCCCAGACUCCUACGGGGUGCAGCAUUGGGGGGAAUUGAUCAGUGGGCGAAAGUCUAAGGCGGCGACAGCGUGUGGGGGGUGAAGGCCUUCGGGUUGAAAACUCCUUUCGCCCGCGAAAUGGUAGUGGGUAAAGAAGCGCCGGCUAACUACGUGCCAGCCGCCGCGGUAAUAC